ACUCUAACUUGUGGUAUCGAAUCUCGCAGAGCGGCUCACGAGGCAGGUGCUGCUACAGGAAUUGUAAAUGUUGGUGUUACAAGAGCUGAUGACUUUGUAUCACUGAAAAUAAAUGCUAGGUUGGGUGAGAUCAUGCCUAGAGUGCUUCAAAUGGGGUCCCUUAGCAUUCCUGCCCUUCAAUGAUAUCACUUCAGGUCUCUGUUUCAAUUACAACUUCGUAGUUAUCAGUAGAGAAUCUAUGAUCUAUUUUGCCAAAUUACAUUUGGGAAAUGGAUACCUUGAUUGUUGUAUUAUUAAUAGCACAAGAUUGCUGAGCUGGUCACAGAGUUAGAUCAUCUUCUUCUCAGUUUACUUAAAUAAAUCUCAAUAUUUUCAUUGUAUUUAAAAUUUACUAAAUUUAUCAAUAUAUAUAUUCGAUUUGGUUUAGGCUUUUCCA